rnacentral:rRNA from 1 species
UUUUGCAUAAUGACCCGGCGAGUUACUCUCAUUGGCGAGGUUAAGGCCUAGCGGGCCGAAGCCGAAGCGAAAGCGAGUCUGAAAUAGGCGUUGAGUCGAUGGGAGUAGACGCGAAACCUUGUGAUCUACCCAUGGGCAGGCUGAAGGCCGGGUAAAACCGGCUGGAGGGCCGAACGCACCAACGUUGAAAAGUUGGGCGAUGACCUGUGGGGAGGACUAAAAGUGUAAUCAAACUGGGAGAUAGCUCGUUCUCUCCGAAAUAUUUUUAGGAAUAGCCUCUUGCGGCAACUGUUGGGGGUAGAGCCACUGGAUACGGAUGGGGCCCUCGGGUACCCACUGUAACCAAACUCCGAAUACCAACAGCCAAGGCAAGGGAGUCAGCCCACGAGUGACAAUAUCCGUGGACAAAAGGGAAACAUCCCAGACCGCCAGCUAAGGUCCCUGAACAUUGCUUAGUUCUAAAGGAAGUCGAAGCGCAAAGACAGCCAGGAUGUUGGCUUAGAAGCAGCCAUCAUUUAAAAAGUGCGUAAUAGCUUACUAGUCGAGCAACUCUGCGCCGAAAAUGAACGGGACUAAGCAUGGAGCCGAAACUCCAGACUGCACACACUGGUGUGUGCAUUGGUAGGGGAGCGUUGGACGAGCGGUUGAAGCC